rnacentral:rRNA from 1 species
UACGGAGGAUGCAAGCGUUAUCCGGAAUGAUUGGGCGUAAAGCGUCCGCAGGUGGCUGUGUAAGUCUGCUGUUAAAGAGUGAGGCUCAACCUCAUAAAGGCAGUGGAAACUACACGGCUAGAGUGCGUUCGGGGCAGAGGGAAUUCCUGGUGUAGCGGUGAAAUGCGUAGAGAUCAGGAAGAACACCGGUGGCGAAAGCGCUCUGCUAGGCCGCAACUGACACUGAGGGACGAAAGCUAGGGGAGCGAAUGGG